UACGAAGGGGGCUAGCGUUGCUCGGAAUCAUUGGGCGUAAAGCGCGCGUAGGCGGCCAGAUUAGUCCGGUGUGAAAGUCAGAGGCUCAACCUUUGAAUGCCGCUGGAAACUGUCUGGCUUGAGUCCGGAAGGGGCGAGUGGAAUUCCUGGUGUAGCGGUGAAAUGCGUAGAUAUCGAGAGGAACACCUGAGGUGAAGACGGGUUGCUGGGCCGACACUGACGCUGAGUGCGCGAAAGCCAGGGGAGCAAACGGG
rnacentral:rRNA from 1 species